UCUCCCUGAGACUAUAAGUCUCCUGAAGGAACGUUAAAGACGAUGACGUUGAUAGGCCGGGUGUGUAAGCGCAGCGAUGCGUUGAGCUAACCGGUACUAAUGAACCGUGAGGCUUAACCUUAC
rnacentral:rRNA from 1 species